ACCAGACUCCUACGGGAGGCAGCAGUGGGGGAUAUUGCACAAUGGGGGAAACCCUGAUGCAGCGACGCCGCGUGAGCGAAGAAGUACCUCGGUAUGUAAAGCUCUAUCAGCAGGGAAGAAGAUGACGGUACCUGACCAAGAAGCUCCGGCUAAAUACGUGCCAGCAGCCGCGGUAAUACGUAUGGAGCAAGCGUUAUCCGGAUUUACUGGGUGUAAAGGGAGCGUAGACGGCAUAGCAAGUCUGAAGUGAAAGCCCGUGGCUCAACCGCGGAACUGCUUUGGAAACUGUUAAGCUGGAGUACUGGAGAGGCAAGCGGAAUUCCUAGUGUAGCGGUGAAAUGCGUAGAUAUUAGGAGGAACACCAGUGGCGAAGGCGGCCUGCUGGGCUUUAACUGACGCUGAGGCUCGAAAGCGUGGGUAGCAAACAGGAUUAGAUACCCCCGUAC
rnacentral:rRNA from 1 species